CGUCGGCGUGGCGACGGUAAAAAGGGCAUUAAGCCACGAGCGUUGUCAGAAGACAGGUUGCC
rnacentral:ribozyme from 1 species